GGAAGAAGUCUGCAGGGUUUUGGUAUUCCUCACCACAGUAACCUGAGAACAAAAGCCACCUAAGAACAUAACCUAAUGGUCUUAGAAAAUAAAGAGGACUCACUUCCAGAGAGUGAGGGAGUGGGGGAUCCCAAGGUGUGUCUGCACAGAUAUCAAGCAACACUCCUGUGGAACCCUGUACUCUACCAAGGAGUCUAUGAAUGAAGGAUCUAGUGCGUGAAAAGGUCAACCACACCUGCCGAUUGAAAGUACUCCAGAGCCCCCUGUGCAGGACCAUGAUACAUUAGUUUUCCUGAAGCCAAUAAGGUGAGGCUGUCAAACAGCUUGAAAAUGGAAUACCGAGGCUGUUGAAUGGUGAAGAUGAUUGUUCGAUCACGAUUAGACAUCCUAUGCAGAAAGAAGAAAAAUAAUAAGCCAUUAAAAUCUGAUUCUUGUUAAAAU